AACGAACGCUGGCGGCGUGCUUAACACAUGCAAGUCGGACGCGAAAGCCCUUCGGGGUGAGUAGAGUGGCGCACGGGUGAGUAAUAAAUAGGAACGUACCUACGGGUGGGGAAUAACUUCGGGAAACCGGAGCUAAUACCGCAUGAGAUCGAGAGAUUAAAGGAGGCCUAUCCUUGGAAGCUUUCGCCUGUAGAUCGGCCUAUUUCCCAUUAGCUAGUUGGUAGGGUAAUGGCCUACCAAGGCUACGAUGGGUAGCUGGUCUGAGAGGAUGAUCAGACACACUGGAACUGAGAUACGGGCCAGACUCCUACGGGAGGCAGCAGUGGGGAAUUUUGCACAAUGGGCGCAAGCCUGAUGCAGCAACGUCGCGUGAGUGAAGAAGGCCCUUGGGUUGUAAAGCUCUUUCGGCUGGGAAGAGGGGUUCUCUAAGUAACUAUAGAGGAUCUGACGGUACCAGAAGAAGAAGCACUGGCUAAUUCCGUGCCAGCCGCCGCCGUAA
rnacentral:rRNA from 1 species